rnacentral:lncRNA from 1 species
GUCAUCACAGGCAUCACAGGCAUCACAGGCAUCACAGGUGUCACAGGCGUCAUCACAGGCAUCACAGGCAUCACAGGCGUCACAGGCAUCACAGGCAUCACAGGCAUCACAGGUGUCACAGGCAUCACAGGCGUCACAGGUGUCACAUGCGUCAUCACAGGCAUCACAGGCAUCACAGGUGUCACAGGCAUCACAGGCAUCACAGGCGUCACAGGCAUCAUCACAGGCGUCACAGGCAUCAUCACAGGCAUCACAGGCAUUAC